ACUGAGCAGUCCUAGAUCAUUUUAUAAUCCGUUUUAAAAACUAAACUGAACAUUUUACAGCAAUUAUUUGAGUUUACAGUUGCUUUAAUGAUAGUUAACUGAAAGAAAAAAAAAUGUUUUCUUUCUUUAUAUUUGUAAAUCCGGUUACUAUAUAAUAAAUAAUUGGUCAUUGAUGACUGACUAAUUGUUUUGACAAAAACAUCAACAUAUUGAAUACUUUAAUUUAUUCUUUAACCUUUCGUUGGCAGUAAAACUAUAAAUAUGUGCAUGAGUAACAAUGCGUAUAAGAGAUGUAUACAUAAGAGCUAAAAAUAGUAACAGUGAAUAAUCUGGAUUUACCAAUAUUGAAAACGAAAGUUACACGUUUUUAGAAUUUAGAUAAUAAUACGAAUACAGGUGGAAAUAACAAUUUAUUGAAGUCAUUGCAAAGAGGGGAUCACAUUGCAGUGGCAAGCAAGAAGGCUGGGCUAAAGUAUUAUCAUCAUGGUAUAUUUCUUGGAGAAAGAGAAGGAGUAGUUGAUUUUGAUUCAACAGACGGAAUGAAUGCAACAGUUUGUAUCGCUACCAUAUCAGAAUUUACAGACCAGGGAAGACUUACUAUCCAUCGCUACGUUUACCGGACAUAAACGUGCAUAUAACAGAAAAAGUGGAUUACUAUUAUAACAAUAACCUUAAUAGAUAACAUGAAUAUGAAUAAAGUUGGGUACUUUACAUUUAUAUAUUACAACUUAAAAAAUAAAAUUAUCUAACAACUAUGUAUAGGUUAGUGUUUAAUAAUACGUAUUAACACAACAUUUUGUAAAUGCAUAUUAUUAAACAUUAACCUAUUUAAUGAUCAACAUUAUUUUUCAACCAAAAACAAAGCAUUUCUCUAAACUGCUUUUAGUAAGAAUGGUUAGACGACUGAUUAAGUAAAUAUUAUUUAGUAAGUACACAUUAACGAAAGUUAGACAAAGCCGAAAUUUGAAAAAUACUGCAAUCCGAUUGGACAAAAAUAAUGUUGAUCAUUUAUUCAUGUUUGUAUUAAUUUUAUUUAUUAUGUGUGUUUCAUUUGAAUUAUGAUUAAAUAUUUGCUUUUCAAUGUGUUUCUAAUGUUUCCCACACAUGUUUCAAUUAUAAUCUCUUUAACAAAUCAUUGUUGAUUGUCAGACAAUAAGAUUAUAUUUAAUUUGA